UGUAUUCUUCUCAUAUGGAAGAAAGAUAAGCAAAGAAGAGGUGAUAGGAUUUUUUUGAUUCAGACUAGUGUGGUGGCAGACUGGACAAGAGGAGUGCCACAGAUUAUGUCUUCAAGUUUCAAGGAGCUCCAAUCUCUUGGAUAUCUAACAAGCAACCUGUUAUGGCUCUGUCUAUCCUCUAUCAUGUCAUCAUGAGCAACUCCUAUUACAACCCGUCCUUUUAAUGGAAUGUUGAUUCUAUUUAUUACGUUCAUCCAAGAAAAACCCAUAUUCUG
rnacentral:lncRNA from 1 species